AUGGUGGCUGGUAGCACGUUGGCGAAGGCCAUGGAAGACGUAAGCGAUCAGGCACACGGGGCGGGGAAAGGAGGAAGGGAGUGCAUGCAGAGGGGCAGAGGAGAAUUGGAAAACAAGGUGGAAGGGUGCCCGGAGCCAGCGCCGCGAUGGACGCGUGACGCAGCGGUCUGACCGUAAGCUCGUUACGCCUGUCGGAAGUAUAAAUCAACCGCAAAGUUAUUCCGCCGUGCUGUCGGGAACUCCCCGUAGGGUGCCUCGUUGGAAACUGCUACCACCUUCUUGUCCGCGAUAUCGUUCGCGCAGAAUUAAUUUUUUUUUCUUAUUCAUAGCACAGGUAUAUCCCGCUGAUAAUCCUAGCGGAUCGACGAGAAAGGCAAGCACACACACGAGCGAAUGUAUUGCGAACACGCGAAAAGGCGAAAACUUAGAAAAGUCGAGUUCCGAGUAAACCCGGAAUCGUAGGAUAAUCCGAGAUGAUCGCCUAAUAGCUUUAGGAAAGAAUCGACUGCUGGGGAUGACUGCUUUAAAUUACCAUAAGCUCCGACUCUUCCCGGGUUAACGAGCGGAAGAGACGAGACCCCAAAAGUGUUGAAACUAGCCGUCGGAAUAAGGGGAACUACACGAAAAUCGAUGAUGAUACUGAUAUUAUUACGAAAGAAAAGAGACUAAUUAUAAUUGUUAAUAAUGUGGGGAAAGAAUUGGGGAAAAAAUUUUUAUCUACACGAGCGAGUGUAAUUUGUCGAAUUUGCUCUCGGCUAAGUAUUCACGUUAAAAGAACUAAUUAUGUGGCGCAAUACGUUUAUUGUGCUUUUUAUCGGUAACAUAUAGAAAUUGCUCGUUUUCUCUCAGCUGCGAAUUCAACACCCGAGAGAAAGCGCACGGGAUCUAAUGCACCCUAUAUCAGUUUUAAUAAACGAGCACGCGUUGACAACGAUCGUGAGAUUGGCCUUAUUAAUUAAAUACGUUAAUUAAUUUAUGGGUAAGGGGAGAGCCCGAAUAAUCUUUCUCAGUUGCGUUUCUAGUCGCAAUCCCGGCGAACAAAUAUAAUGCAGAUCGAUACACAUCGUAACGCACCGUAGGCACGGCAACAAAACAACAUUUCUCAGUCUCGGCGUCAGUCCAGAGGCUCUCUUACGAUUAUAUCAGCUAUCCUUCCGUGUGCUAAUAAUUAUCUCCCGAUUUCUUCUCUAAUUUAACGGCGCAUACGUUACACGCGUGGCGUUCCGGUUAUGCACCGCUAAAAUCUAAGAGCCGCGCCUCCUUUAAUUGGCCCCAAACAAGAGUGAUUUACAACUGUAGGAAAAGAAAAGAAAGUAUCUCGUUUCUUUCACGCUUUUCCCAUUGAGAUAACAAAUAACCAUUAUUUAAUAUAAUAUUAGCGCACACGUGUGCUUAAUUACGUCUCGCCGGGCUUCUUUCCCAAGCGCGGCGGUAGCCAAGCGUCGCGGAAACGUGCCAGACGGAUAUUUCGUGAAACUCGCCGCCGCCGCGUCGCGCCGCACACGCAGAUGAGAUACCCAUCAAACCGUGGAAUUCACUGCCUCUGUCCUAUGAAAGAGACAUCCCUCUCUUUUCGAGUCCACCGAAAGUCAUAAAACGUCCAGCACCCACGUAGAGACUGGUAUCACGUACCACGGCCGGGCCUUUUGUGUGCUCGCGUGUGUAUUAUCACGUGUGCAUACAGUUGCCACCACAAAUAGUCCCGAGACCCGUGUCUCUCGCGUGGCGGCUUCCGCUCCAAUCUCCCUUUAAAUCAAUGGAAAUAUCGAGGAGCCGCUCAGCCGAAAAUAUAGCCUGCCGCGAAAUGUCCUGCGAUUCAUUCACGAGACCUCCAAUUUUUGCGAAAUUGGAGCAAGGCCGUACUGGUCCUCCUGUCUACUAAAUCUUACUGUCAGACGUAAUAUUGCCUUAGGGCAACUUACUUCAUUAGGUUUGCCCUAUAUGCACUGCUAUAUCAAACUGCCGGCAACAUAGGAAAAAAAUAGAUUUGGAAAAUAUAUAUCUGUACCAUUUCUCUCUCCGUACAAAUUUUUGGGCUACGGUUCUCAUAAAAAAAAAAAAACCGCACAGUCUUAUUCGCGGCUGAGACUGUACCGUAUACGCGGGGAUGUUCCGUGUGUGUCGUACGUGCCUGUCGUCCGUUCGUCCGUCAUGAGUGCGUGCGCGAACGUCCGGGCUCGUCGGAGAGGAUGCUCGCUAGCUCGUUCGCUUUGCCCGAUCAUGGGACAAAAGUCGAGCCUACGUCUCGUGGGAACGUACAAGUCACGCUCGCUCAAAAACCGUGCUACACGUAUUAAACCGAGCGUCGAGUUUCUUGCGUCGCGACGACGCGACGACUCGGUCGAGGCAGAUCGUUCCAAAGUGCGCGGAAACGCCGGAAAUGCCCUUCGGGUAUUAUCGGUAAAGGAAAAACCCUAACGAUGAUAGUAAUUAUGUCUUUGUACAUGUACUGAGAAAUCCACUGCUAUAUAUCGAGUUUUAACUAUUUCUCCGGUAAUAAUGAUAAACAGAACGAUUAGUUUCAGUCUUCAUAAAAAGAAUUACUAGGAAACAGUGAAAGCCGUAAGGAAAACAUCGCAUACAUCACGCAUUCUAAUACCGUGUUAACGUGCCUAUUAAAAUCACGUAAAAUCAGUGGAAUUUGCGGAAACACAUAUCGCUCUCAUUAUCGUAAAUAUUCACAGCGUCGAUAAUUUCGCCGGCGCUGACGAUGAUCAGAAGGAUAAGGAUUACGAGUAGUAACGCGGUAACGGUGUGGCAUAAUUAAUGGCGUUCGCUCUUUCCACGCGUGCAGUCGAUGAUCGUCAAGCGCGAUCUCGAUUUCAUACGUAUACGUACUGACGCGCGUGCACCCUCCCGAUUAUCUUCGCAAUUCGUGAAAUAAAAGUAUCUCGCGCUUUUGCGCGAAAAAGAAUCCGCUGGCUGGUAUAACGGAGACACACCGCGGCUAUAAACCGCAUCGGUUUACAACCGUAGCGUCGCGUCGCGCGUCGGUCAGGUGCGUCGGUCUCACUCUCCCCCGGCUGGAGAUGUGCAUCCUGACACGCGGCUGCACCUGUCCGCACCGUGGCCGUGGCGCGCAGGCUGCCCCGUUUUAUAGAAGGCUACUUUCUAUAUCGCCGAUCUAUCAAAUUGGCCUCAGCCAGAUAAGGAAUUAGGGGAAGCGGUCGCGUCGUGCGCCUUUAAAAGCGCCCGUGACGGAACAUCCCCGCGCGGCUGUUAUUUGGCCGAGCGUCACCCUCUCUCGGUCUCGCUCACGAAAUUUUACGGCUCUCCAGUCCUUCGACAUCACCUGCUGCCGCUGCUCACCGCUCGCCUCGAAGCAACGAACCGAUGCCCAAGUUAUCAUCGCUUCCUCGAAGUCACGCCGAUUACUUCUCAACGAUUUAUCUUAUCUAUCUCUCGCGAUGCGCAUUAUCGAGAUUUCAGAGCCCCGAAGCGGAAGCGAACCAAAUUCUAAUUAAUCCCUAAUCCCGUAAUUCCUAAUAUCCGCUUUUUGUCGCGAGAUAAAGAAAGAGAUUUUAUCUCACGCGCUUGUAUUUUUCCAGACCCCGUUCGCUUGCCCGUCAAUUCCGUCGUUUCGCGCUCGAGGAACCGUUCAAACGUUCGAGUCGAGACAUUCACAGGGUGUUUACAGGAGAGGGAAAAAAACGGCUCAGCGGUAUCUUGAAAAAUAAAAAAACAGAAACGCACAUUGUGGGAUAACAACUUGAUUACGCGGUGUGUUUUAUCGAAAAAUCAUAAGGCAAUUAAUAACGUUCAUUAGAGACGACCGCGCGCGCGAUAAUAAUUCCGUUUGAUAGGUAAUUAGACGAGGGAGCGAGUAAUUGCGUUAAUUGAGACCGAGACCGAGUGCACGUUGCGAAAAGCUUGGCUAGAUAUAUGGAACCGUUCCACACGCACGCCGCAGUCCGUAAUCGUUCUAAUCGCGGUUCUUCUUGCUAGAAAUACCUCGCCUCGCCUUUAGGCCUCGUUCCAGAGCCCUUUCGCCCGCACGGCGCUUUUCUCUCUUCCUGCGAAAGUCACGCGAAAAAAAGUUACCUGCCAACGAUCCAUAGAGAUCGCUAACUUUUGCGCCUAGCAGUCGUGCACUCGCUAACGACCUAAAGCGUCCCAUAACCGUGCCCUGAAUUACGUUCAACAUAAAAUACUAAAACGAUAUUUAGACCGAAAUGCAAAAAAAAAAUUAUCUUCAUGAAAUAUCGUAGCUUUGAAAAUUAAUGAUCUCAAUAUAUGAACGACUAAUGUUUGCGACCGGUUCCUUUAACAUCCGACACUUUUAGAUAUUUAACUUAAAUUUUUAUUAUACUGCAAUGUAUCGUAUUUUAUUAGUUGUCGCAAUCCCGUAGAUCUUGUGCAAAGAAGGCAGAUCUUGGACAUCGUAAAGCAAUACCUUCUUAUUUCUCGUAAACUAAACAUUAUUACCGUAUUUUAAUACUGAUAAAAAACAUGAUCUGCUUAAAUAGUUAAAGAAAUAAAACCUUAUAGUUUAUACAUGCACGAGUCUUUUUUGUAUAAAAUCUACUAAAAACGAAUCUAAUCUAACCUUUGUAUAUAAUCACAAUUGAAAUUAUUUCACCGAAGCUUUGUAAUUAUUACCAAAGUCUUCUUUUUUUUUUAGAAUAAGAAACGCUCGUCAAGAUUACUCCCGUCGAUAGUUUCCGUUUCUCAGCUGUUCUUUUCAAAGGGCACAGGUCACAACCGCAUUUCUGGCGACACUAAAGUUCAUAUAUGUAUUUAUACAUAAUGGGAGUAUCGUCCCGCGAUGCGUAGACACUUAUAAUAGCGACAUCCUGGACAUCUGCCGACCCCGAGACCCCUGGUCUCUUCAUCUUGGCCUUCCUGUAUUUUCUCUUUUUUUUUUUCUUCCGGCGAAUGUCGCGCAAUAAAGCCGCCGUCGUCGGCAUAAUACGGCAGUAAGCCCUACCGAUAUUUGCCAUUUUAUGUAACGUGUACUUACGCGACGUGCCUCAUAUUAAACAAGCGCGAGAGAUACGAGUACGUAUCUGCGGGAAGAGGCGAAGACGCAAAACUUGUUUCUCUGUUCCGAGGUCGUUCGUUCACUUUUCUUCUUAUUUCAUUCCGGACAUUCGCGUGUAAUAAAGCAAAACAUUGUUUUAUAAUCGACGGAAUUGCCCUUACGCGACUUAAUGUCGAAAGAAACGGAAAGGGAUCCGUAUUCAAUUAAAGACACCGCAAGUAAAUUCCAUGCGCCGGACUAAUGCGCGCCGCGUAAUCAACCGGCCGAAAUGAAACUCGAAAAAAGCUCGCGCAUUAGCAUAACUAGAUAUCGUUAUGACUUAAUCCGUCCGUUAAAUGAAUGUAACGCGUCCGUAGCGAGAUAUCAUCACGAGGCUGGCAAAUUUGAGUAAUGACGGUGAUUCGAAAUAUGUUAAUGUCAAUUGAAUGGGAUUAAUGAAAACAGCAAUAAUUUAUAUCCCCCGUUGUCAGUACAUAUCAAACGGACCUUAAAACAAGUUGAUCGACAACUACCGCCGAGAGUUACCGAUAACGGGAGUAUGUCAGCGUGAACGUCACGUCACCUCUAUAACGUCUGCUAAUUUCUCACGCGCGCGAUUAAUUAACAUACGCAAAUAAUUCCUUAGUGCCGAAACACUUAUGACGCGCUCUAUAAAUUUUCCCCGUUCGGGCGCUUAUUAACGACCGUAGUUAAACGUAAUUACGGUCGGAACGUUUACGCACAAGUAUCAAUUACCUACGGAAUUAUUAUAUCCGACUAUUUACGUAGAUACGCUCGGCGCGCGCGCAUAAUCCGCGCGCCUGUAAUUUGUGCAAUGCAAAUUUCUAUCCCGGCAAACGCGCAGCGGUUAUUAAUACUUUCGA
rnacentral:sRNA from 1 species